AUUGAACGCUGGCGGCAUGCCUAACACAUGCAAGUCGAGCGAGCGGCGGACGGGUGAGUAAUGUCUGGGAAACCGCCCGAUGGAGGGGGAUAACCACUGGAAACGGUAGCUACUACCGCAUACCAUCAGAUGUGCCCAGAUGGGAUUAGCUAGUAGGUGGGGUAACGGCUCACCUAGGCGACCAUCCCUACAAGGUCUUAGUGGAUGACCAGCAACAAUGGAACGGAGACACGGUCAAGACUCCUACGGGAGGCAGCAGUGGGUAAUAUUGCACAAUGGGCGAAAGCCUGAUGCAGCGAUGCCGCGGGUGUGAAGAAGGCCUUCGGGUUGUAAAGCACGUUCAGAGGGGAGGCGUUACCCGCAGAAGAAGCACCGGCUAACUCCGUGCCAGCAGCCGCGGUAAUUC
rnacentral:rRNA from 1 species